GCGGGAGUGGCGGAACUGGUAGACGCGCAGGACUUAGGAUCCUGUGCCUUCGGCAUAGGGGUUCAAGUCCCCUCUCCCGCACCA
rnacentral:tRNA from 1 species